GACCUGUUAGCUCAGUCGGCAGAGCGUGGUGCUAAUAACGCUAUGGUCGUGAGUUCGAUCCUCACACAGGCCA
rnacentral:tRNA from 1 species